rnacentral:rRNA from 1 species
CGGAGAGUGCAAGCAUUAUCGGAAUUAUUGGGCGUAAAGGGCGCGUAGGCGGGAAUGUAAGUCAGAUGUGAAAUACUGAAGCUCAACUUCAGUGCUGCAUUUGAAACUGCGUUUCUUGAGGGUUGACGGAGAAAACGGAAUCCACGUGUAGCGGUGAAAUGCGUAGAUAUGUGGAAGAACACCGGUGGCGAAAGCGGUUUUCUAGUUAAUACCUGACGCUGAGGCGCGAGAGCAAGGGGAGCAAACAGGAUUAGAUACCCUGGUAGUCCUUGCCGUAAACGAUGUAUACUUGAUGUAGUUAGGCUCAACCCUGACUGUGUCGAAGCUAACGCGAUAAGUAUACCGCCUGAGGAGUACGCUCGCAAGGGUGAAACUCAAAAGAAUUGACGGGGGCCCGCACAAGCAGUGGAGCAUGUGGUUUAAUUCGAUGCAACGCGAAGAACCUUACCCAGGCUCGAAAUGUAGAGGCAACCAACAGAGAUGUUGGGUUCCGCAAGGACUUCUAUAUAGGUGCUGCAUGGCUGUCGUCAGCUCGUGCCGUGAGGUGUUGGGUUAAGUCCCGCAACGAGCGCAACCCUUAUCAUUAGUUGCCAAUCGCGUAAUGGCGGGGACU